rnacentral:lncRNA from 1 species
GGACAACGUUAACAAAUAGGCUUUUGGCUCUAGGUUUUCUUUUUGAAUCUAGAAGGAAAAACACAGAAAAGGGAUUUUGUUGUAUUAAGAAAAGGGCCAAGGAUCGACUAUGGACAUAACAAUGUGAAGAGUGUAAGGCAGACUUUAGAGAGAGAAGUUAGAAUAUUUGACAUCGUUACACCUAUCACCAACUGAGUAUUUCAUUCAGAACCUGGCACAAAAUUCCUAGCCCUGUAUUGGUUUGUCUUUUGUUUCUCUGUUUAGGGUGUUUGUAGAACUAAACUCAGGACUAGAGAUGAUAGCCAUAAAGGGAGAUGAUGAAGGACCUAACUAUAAAUAAAUAUACAAAGUAAAUUAAACUUAAAGAGGUUGAAAAAAAUGGAAGUGUGGUAAAUUUAAAGGGUCAACAAGAGUGGGAAGUAAAGCUUUGAG